GACGAACGCUGGCGGCGUGCUUAACACAUGCAAGUCGAACGGAAAGGCCCUGCUUUUGUGGGGUGCUCGAGUGGCGAACGGGUGAGUAACACGUGAGUAACCUGCCCUUGACUUUGGGAUAACUUCAGGAAACUGGGGCUAAUACCGGAUAGGAGCUCCUGCUGCAUGGUGGGGGUUGGAAAGUUUCGGCGGUUGGGGAUGGACACGCGGCUUAUCAGCUUGUUGGUGGGGUAGUGGCUUACCAAGGCUUUGACGGGUAGCCGGCCCGAGAGGGUGACCGGCCACAUUGGGACUGAGAUACGGCCCAGACUCCUACGGGAGGCAGCAGUGGGGAAUAUUGCACAAUGGGCGGAAGCCUGAUGCAGCAACGCCGCGUGCGGGAUGACGGCCUUCGGGUUGUAAACCGCUUUCGCCUGUGACGAAGCGUGAGUGACGGUAAUGGGUAAAGAAGCACCGGCUAACUACGUG
rnacentral:rRNA from 1 species